AUUGAACGCUGGCGGCAGGCUUAACACAUGCAAGUCGAACGAGAGGCGGACGGGUGAGUAAUGCUUGGGAAUCUAGCUGAUGGAGGGGGAUCACUACUGGAAACUGUAGAUAAUACCGCGUACCAUAGGAUGAGCCCAUGUGGGAUUAGGUAGUUGGUGAGGUAAAGGCUCGCCAAGCCGACGACCUCUGGCUGGUCUGCGAGGAUGACCAGCCACACGGGGACUGAGCCACGGCCCAGACUCCGACGGGAGGCAGCAGUGGGGAAGAUUGCGCAAUGGGGGCAACCUGACGCAGCCAGGCCGCGUGACUGAAGAAGGCCUUCGGGUUGUAAAGUUCUUUCGGUAGCGAGGCGUUAACUACAGAAGAAGCACCGGCUAACUCCGUGCCAGCAGCCGCGGUAAUAC
rnacentral:rRNA from 1 species